AGUGAACGCUGGCGGUAGGCCUAACACAUGCAAGUCGAACGGCAGCACAGGAGAGCUUGCUCUCUGGGUGGCGAGUGGCGGACGGGUGAGGAAUACACCGGAAUCUACUCUGUCGUGGGGGAUAACCUAGGGAAACUUACGCUAAUACCGCAUACGACCUACGGGUGAAAGCAGGGGACCUUCGGGCCUUGCGCGAUUGAAUGAGCCGAUGUCGGAUUAGCUAGUUGGCGGGGUAAAGGCCCACCAAGGCGACGAUCCGUAGCUGGUCUGAGAGGAUGAUCAGCCACACUGGAACUGAGACACGGUCCAGACUCCUACGGGAGGCAGCAGUGGGGAAUAUUGGACAAUGGGCGCAAGCCUGAUCCAGCCAUACCGCGUGGGUGAAGAAGGCCUUCGGGUUGUAAAGCCCUUUUGUUGGGAAAGAAAUCCAGCUGGCUAAUACCCGGUUGGGAUGACGGUACCCAAAGAAUAAGCACCGGCUAACUUCGUGCCAGCAGCCGCAGUAA
rnacentral:rRNA from 1 species